rnacentral:misc_RNA from 1 species
UAGAUAAUUCUUGAGGCAAGGUCUGGAAGAGAUUUGUUUAUCUUUUGCAAGUUACUGAUAUGGAAGGCUGGUUGCUAUUCUUAUUAAGUUUGUUUUUGGGGCAAGCUAGUUCUUUACCCAUUUUGAAAGUAUGCGAUUUCCCCUUUAUCUUUCACGUAAUCUGUAUAUGUUGGCAUGAUGUUGAUGAACAUUGAGGUCUGCUACUCUGCACUGUUUUGUUCUUUAUCUUUCACCACUGGAUUGGCAUUGCUAUUUUAGCAUGCUUUCUGCUCCCUUUGAUGAUUUCGUUACCAUUUUAGUUCUGAUAUUAAUCACAGGUGGUAAUUUACUCACCAGCUAGAACUGCAACACAACAAGGAUCUGGAAAAGUUGGAAGGUGGAAAAUCAAUUUUAUGUCAACGCAAAAGUGGGAAAAUCCGUUGAUGGGUUGGACAUCCACAGGGGAUCCAUAUGCCAAUGUUGGUGAUGCUGGACUCAGUUUUGACAGUGAAGAAGCUGCAAGGGCAUUUGCUGAGCGACAUGGUUGGGAAUAUGUGGUUUUAUGUCCCUUUUUUUUCCUGUUUCAAAUUACUACACAAACAAAUAUUAUUGCUAGUUUGGGAUUCCACAGACAGGAGGAUAAUGUGAGAUGCAAUUAUGAUGUUGUCCCUUUGUUGAAAUGUUCUGUGAUACUGCUCCUCUAGAAAAGGGAAGAGACGGUUUUUUUAAUAUCAUCACUGUCUCUGGAACAAUAUUUGUCCUUUUAAUUUCCUAGCUUUUUUAUUUUUUACCCUUGAAAUUUUACAAUUUUGAUGAAAGUGUUGCUUAAUUCUGAAUGAGGUUCAGAUUAGUUUUUGCAUUAUGAUAAACAGUCAGCAUUUUUUUUCUUCUGAUUUUAGAUUCCCUCACUUGUUAAAUGAAAAGGCCAGUUGAUUAUGUUCCUUCUGAUUCUUGUUGUUGUCAUGGUUAUUGUCAUUGUGCAUUAUUUUACCCUUUUUUCUUUUCCCCCUCUUCCACCUCACAUAUAUCGGGUUGCAUUUUACUUUCUUUUUGAUAGUAAUUCUUGAAAUCAUUUGCAGGUUAGAAAGCGUCACACGCCACUAUUGAAGGUCAAGUCAUAUGCAGAUAAUUUCAAAUUUAAGGGUUUUCCCAAAACGGAGGACAAUUGAUUGUAUUUCUCGCCUACUCUGUUUCGUGGUUCUACAAGACAAGUGCAAAAUAGUUUGCAAUUUUUUUCACUGCACAUUUUCGGCAUGUAGCUACAAUGUACUUUCUUGCAAAACCUCUGUCCCAACUGAAUUCUUCUCAUAAUAAACGGGAUUGAUGGGUCUGCUCUUUUGCAUUUUUUCUUUUAGUUUUUCGCUUGAUGUGAGGCUACAAUAAACUUAUUUUCAUGUCCUUGGAUUAUUGGUAGAAAUUUUGUGAUCACAAUUUCUAUAUAACCUAACAUCAUGAAAUUGGCUGGAAAAAAGGAGGCCUUUUAGAGUGAUCGUGUGGGAUAAGAUCAUGGGGUUAGAGUAUUUACUAUUCAGCAUUCCAUGGGUUUGGCAUUUCUAUCAUUUUGAGUAAAUUACCAUUGAAUCUCUGAGGUACAGUAAAAUCCAUAUGUUAGUCUCUUGUUUAAUUUUGUGUAAUGAAAAUUAGUGAAAUGAAAGAGUGAAGGAAGGCCUGUGGCGACGGCGUUUCAUGCAUUGGGCUUUAAGCAGCUGGAAGUCCUCUAGAAGCCAUCCAUCAUCAUCAUCGUCUUCUUUUUUCUUCUUUUCGAGUGGGCCAGUGGAGCAAUGCCAAACACUAUUGGCUUGCUCAAACAAAUUGGCAUCUUCUAGAGUACUUACAUGAAUUGUGAUAAGGAGAAAGUGAAUGAAGAAAAUUCCUGAGAUCAUUUAUGUAUAUUCAAUUAAAAUUUUCAUAAGAUUGGUUUAUAUUUUUGUUUAUAAAUCUUGUAAAUUAUUAAAUAUCUUUU